GAUGAACGCUGGCGGCGUGCCUAAUACAUGCAAGUCGAGCGAACGGACGAGAAGCUUGCUUCUCUGAUGUUAGCGGCGGACGGGUGAGUAACACGUGGAUAACCUACCUAUAAGACUGGGAUAACUUCGGGAAACCGGAGCUAAUACCGGAUGAUAUUUUGAACCGCAUGGUUCAAAAGUGAAAGACGGUCUUGCUGUCACUUAUAGAUGGAUCCGCGCUGCAUUAGCUAGUUGGUAAGGUAACGGCUUACCAAGGCAACGAUGCAUAGCCGACCUGAGAGGGUGAUCGGCCACACUGGAACUGAGACACGGUCCAGACUCCUACGGGAGGCAGCAGUAGGGAAUCUUCCGCAAUGGGCGAAAGCCUGACGGAGCAACGCCGCGUGAGUGAUGAAGGUCUUCGGAUCGUAAAACUCCGUUAUUAGGGAAGAACAUAUGUGUAAGUAACUGUGCACAUCUUGACGGUACCUAAUCAGAAAGCCACGGCUAACUACGUG
rnacentral:rRNA from 1 species